AUGGAUCAGCAAAGAUCUGCCUAUGCACAUUCUGAACACCGAGGUGUUGGGGUUCAUGGUCAAACCAGAGGACUAUGAGAGCCUGGACCACGCUGCUCAGGACUUCCUCAACUUUAAGCUGGAAAACCUUGUGGACCACCCCCUAUACUGUACAGUCAGUACAUCUCCAGACCACCCCCUGUCAAGAACAACUUGGGGUUGGACGCGGUGUUCAUGAUUGGGCUAGUACGGAGGCCAGAAAGAAGGAACCGGAUGAUUUUAAGCCUGGACGAG